UGGGGAAUAUUGGACAAUGGGCGCAAGCCUGAUCCAGCCAUGCCGCGUGAGUGAUGAAGGCCCUAGGGUUGUAAAGCUCUUUCACCGGUGAAGAUAAUGACGGUAACCGGAGAAGAAGCCCCGGCUAACUUCGUGCCAGCAGCCGCGGUAAUACGAAGGGGGCUAGCGUUGUUCGGAUUUACUGGGCGUAAAGCGCACGUAGGCGGACUUUUAAGUCAGGGGUGAAAUCCCGGGGCUCAACCCCGGAACUGCCUUUGAUAAUGGAAGUCUUGAGUAUGGUAGAGGUGAGUGGAAUUCCGAGUGUAGAGGUGAAAUUCGUAGAUAUUCGGAGGAACACCAGUGGCGAAGGCGGCUCACUGGACCAUUACUGACGCUGAGGUGCGAAAGCGUGGGGAGCAAACAGG
rnacentral:rRNA from 1 species